rnacentral:lncRNA from 12 species
UAAGCCCAACACAUUUCUGUGGAAAAUUUAAAGGUGUGAAUGUUUGAGAAGUUUAGAUGAACAUUUUAGAUUCACACCCCCAUCUCCACCUGUUGAAAUAUUUCUCCUUUUAGGCUUCUCUCCAAAGCUACUUUUCCCUGAAGACUUCCUGGAUUCCCAUAAAAUGGGGUUCAGCCGCCCCUAAUGCCCGUGGCCAUUUUGUGGGAGGGAAUCCUGCUUAAAACACUGCUUUGCCCAAGGACUGUGAUUGGACUUGAUCAAGACUCUUGACUGCAGAAGAAGUCUACGAAUACGAUUUAAUUGUAAAUCAUGGCUAAAGAACUUGCCAGCAGACACUUGGCCUGCCAAUGGUAGCACUGGAUGUGCGGUGCUGGCUUGGGACAGGUGAUGAAGGAUGGACAACAUACUCAGAGAUGCUACCAUACAGACCCUUCAGAAUCCAGAAUAAACCCCAAAUCCUCUCCUUUGUACUCUAGACGUCUAGAGAGUAUAUAACAAACAGGGCCACCAUGAAUGACUGUGAGACCCCCCUGGACCUGUAGAGCUUGUCUACCCAGAGAGAUCAACAAUCUUUUCUAAUUCUCCAGUAGCGAGAAGUGGAAACUGGGGCUGGAAAGUGAGUUUUUGAGCAUGCAUGAAUUUAUAUUUGUGUGUUCAAAUAGAACUGUGGUGUUUUCAGGUUCCUGCCAAUGUCCA